rnacentral:lncRNA from 1 species
GGACUACUACUCGCAGGGGGACGCGAAACCAUGCUCGAUGCUGAAAGCCUGCAUGCACUGACGUCCAUCCUCUUCCAACUUUCAGAAGGGAAAUGAUGCGCGAGGAGAGGAAUUGGCCGUGAUUUGAUUCUGACGAGAGCGAAGGCUUGGAAUAAAGGGGGCAAAGGACCGUGCGCGCGGUCCCAAAAUCCAGAUUCGAGUAGCUUUCAGCUUUCUUGCUCCUGUUAUCACGGAGAAAAUUUCUUCUCUUUUUCUUUUUCUUUUUCUUUUUCCUCCCUGGGGCUGUGGGGAGUGGCUAAGAGGAGAAAUUUUGGGACGGUAGUCAAGGAUGGGCCUUCUUUUUUGAUAUAUAUAUAUAUAUAUAUAUAUAAAGAAGAGUGAUAUGGGCUCUUAACGAAGAAGCAGCGGAGCGGGCUGGACAGCUCAACGGCCCAGGUUGUGCGCUGCUGUGCUAACGGGCCUACGUGAGUUAGGACGAAGAUGGGCAUGCAUCAGCUUAUCCUCCUGGAAACUGUGCGCCCGGCCGUGCAUUGCAUGCAUGCAUGGGCCUCGCAAUCUCUUUGUCGCCCAGAUUUUAAUUUGUUGGGCCUGUAUUCAUCAGACUUGUAACAGCAGAAGGAAAAAAUCCACUCUACGUCUCUCAACUUUCACAAACGUCUAAUUUUUAUCUCUAAAUUUUUAAACCAGACAAAAUACAUCUCUCAACUUUUAAAAUCAUGCACAUUA